rnacentral:rRNA from 1 species
UACGAAGGGGGCUAGCGUUGCUCGGAAUCACUGGGCGUAAAGGGUGCGUAGGCGGGUCUUUAAGUCAGGGGUGAAAUCCUGGAGCUCAACUCCAGAACUGCCUUUGAUACUGAAGAUCUUGAGUCCGGGAGAGGUGAGUGGAACUGCGAGUGUAGAGGUGAAAUGCGCAGAUAUCGGGAAGAACACCCGUGGCGAAGGCGGCUCUCUGGGACGGUACUGACGCUGAGACGCGAAAGCGUGGGGAGCGAACAGG